GCUCCCGCAGGCGUGAGGCCGAUGUUCCAUUUUUGUCUUUUUUGUUUUGUUCAGUGCCUUUUUGUGAGUCUCUUUGGUGUUUGUUUUUGGCUAUUUGUAUUUACCUUUCUGAAAUUCAGACAAUGGGAUGGAUUUAGACAACUCUUAGAAAGGAAGACUAACCACCCUUUGUUCUGCAGAUUGGCCUACCUUUAAAGUAGGAUGGGCGCCUAAGGGCACCCUUGACAUCCUGGUCUGGCAAGAUCUGGUAAAAACUCCCUUUCCUGGUUAAAGCCUCUUUUAUUCCCUCAGAAACAACCUUCAAAAAAAAAUUUUAGUCGUCCAGGACCGUCCCAGCAAAGCAGAUAAAACAAACUAAGACUUCAGCCUCGGCGCCGCUCUAUUCUGUUUUACAGGGCGACUCUGAAGAUUUGAUUUUCCCUCCUCCCUACCAGCCGCCCGGCCCUGGCUGUGGGGCCGGCAGCGGGGGCCACAGGAGGGGCUAAGAGAAGCAGCUCCUCAGGGGCCAGCAGAUCCCUCCACUCUCCCUUCACAGGCAGCAGGGAAACCCCUGCUGUGCCAUUAGCCAGUGCUGAAACCCCCUGUGUGUUCAAACAAAGCUGGCCCUGUGAGCCUCAACCUGCAGGACUCAGCUGGGGCCCAGGAAUGGCAGGCGGAGGAUGGGAAGGCGCGCCUCCUGACUUAUUCCUCAGGAUCCUAACUCCCCGAGCCAUACCCGUCCCCCCAGACUGACUCCCCAUGGCCGACCAAAUGGGGCAAAUGGAUGGAUCUCCUGGACUUCAGGACCCGACUAAAAGCUGUUAAACUCCAAAUGGUCAUCAGGCAAGGCUUCCAGCCCAUUCCACUGGACGACCUGAGCAGCCCUCUGGACCGAGCGGCACCGUCUUUCCAAGGCCACUGUUGCACACCAUAAGACAGGUAGCAAGAGGAAAUACCCAAACCCCCCUCGACGCCCACAUGCCAGCUUCGAAGAAGUUACAGAAAAUGGAACUCCAUCCAUAAUCCCAAAGAAGAAUUUUGGGUAUUACCUCUUGAGGGGAAAAUAUUAGGCAGAAAGUCAGUUAUAAGCUUAUGUGUGUGUGACAUAAAGGCCUAAUGUGUCCAGCAUAUGCAUCUGCACCUCAGUCAUCCUGACAAUGUUUCACUGGAAGCCCAGCCUUUGCAUCCUGCCCUGCCCCCUUCUACCUGAUAACCUGCCAGGUGGAGAUCCCCACCCCUUCUGCCUGACAAAUCUUCCACAACCUCCCGGAUACAGCCCAGUAUCUGCAUUUCAGUAUUGCAGAACAGGAUCUCAUUUUCAUAGAGGGGGGGUUAUGCGCAGCCCUUAAAGAGGAAUGCUGCUUCUAUGUAGACAAGACAGGGGUGGCGAGGGACAACAUGGCUCAACUACGUAAACGCUUAGAGAAAAGACAGUGGGACAGACUUCAGCAACAGGGAUGGUUUAAGUCGUGGUUCACUAAGUCUCCCUAGCUGAAAGUGUUAAACUCAUGGUAAUUCAUCAACAAUAUGUAACACACGGAGAAGGGGAAACAGAUGGUCUCUAAGAUUAGAGACCCUGGCCUAAGAGGAGUGGGGAAUGAAGGGUUAAAAAGUUAAAAGCCGCUCCCCCCCAACCUCCUCUGGUGAACUUUCCUGACCUCGUUAGACUUGCUCUGCAUAGCCAUUAGUCAGUAAAUUACCCCAAUGUGAGCAGUAACCUCAGUUUCACCUAAGUGAGAUAGAAGAAGUCACCAUAUAUCUCUGCCUCCUGGACCCCUGACUCCACCAUGUGUCCCUUAUCGCCAUUCGGCUGCAUUCCUAGGUAUCACUCCCUGUAUUCAUAAAUCAACUGGUUGUAAAAUCACUUAACUUGUAUCAAUUAUUUACUCUAUACCACUGUCUGCUCUGUGCAAUGAUUGAUUUUCUUUGUUUCAAUGUGUAUAAAAACCCCAACCCAAGACUAUUCGAGGCCGCUCGCCUGUACUGGGACGGGGGCCCCGACAUGUCGGAACAUCAAUAAACUUUACCCUUUGUUAAUUACA